CCUACGGGUGGCAGCAGUGGGGGAUAUUGCACAAUGGGGGGAACCCUGAUGCAGCGACGCCGCGUGGCUGAAGAAGCGCCUCGGCGCGUAAAGCCCUGUCAGCAGGGAAGAAAAUGACGGUACCUGAAGAAGAAGCCACGGCUAACUACGUGCCAGCAGCCGCGGUAAUACGUAGGGGGCAAGCGUUAUCCGGAUUUACUGGGUGGAAAGGGGGCGCAGACGGCGAUGCAAGCCAGGAGUGAAAGCCCGGGGCCCAACCCCGGGACUGCUCUUGGAACUGCGUUGCUGGAGUGCAGGAGGGGCAGGCGGAAUUCCUGGUGUAGCGGUGAAAUGCGUAGAUAUCAGGAGGAACACCGGUGGCGAAGGCGGCCUGCUGGACUGCAACUGACGUUGAGGCCCGAAAGCGUGGGGAGCAAACAGGAUGAGAUACCCCGGUAGUC
rnacentral:rRNA from 1 species